CAGCAGCCGCGGGAAUACGUAGGGUGCGAGCGUUAAUCGGAAUUACUGGGCGUAAAGCGUGCGCAGGCGGUUCGUUAAGACAGAUGUGAAAUCCCCGGGCUUAACCUGGGAACUGCAUUUGUGACUGGCGAGCUAGAGUAUGGCAGAGGGGGGUAGAAUUCCACGUGUAGCAGUGAAAUGCGUAGAGAUGUGGGGGAAUACCGAUGGCGAAGGCAGCCCCCUGGGCCAAUACUGACGCUCAUGCACGAAAGCGUGGGGAGCAAACAGGAUUAGAUAUCCCGGUAGUCCCUGUCUCUUAUAA
rnacentral:rRNA from 1 species